rnacentral:rRNA from 1 species
UACGUAGGGUGCGAGCGUUAAUCGGAAUUACUGGGCGUAAAGCGUGCGCAGGCGGUUUUGCAAGCCGGAUGUGAAAUCCCCGGGCUUAACCUGGGAAUGGCAUUUGGGACUGCAAGGCUGGAGUGCGGCAGAGGAGACUGGAAUUCUGGUGGUAGCGGUGAAAUGCGUAGAUAUCAAGAGGAACACCGUAGCGGCGAAGGCGGGUUGCUGGGCUGACACUGACGCUGAAGCGCGAAAGCCAGGGAGCGAACGGG